AAUAUUUCUAAUGUUUAUGGAAAUUUAUUAACCACCGUCCUAUUUGCAUUGAAAAAAUAAGGUAUAUUGAUGUGUCAUGGAAAAGCCCAAUGAUGGUCUACGAGAAGAAGCUUAUUCGAAAAUUAUCGCCCAAAACAAGACACAGUUGGAUGCUGAAGCAAAUGGAUCAAUUGAAGUUUGCAAAUUGUACAACCUGGCCCCACUGCAGCACCUGAAACGGGGAAACAAAGUCAAGCUUCCUUGCAAGGAGAACCCAAAGCUUCCCAUUUCCAGCACAAAGGUGGUUUAAAUAAUCUUAAGAUUUUGAUUAGAUUGGCUGCAGUGUGCCAACAUUUUCAAAACCUUUUCAAAAGCAGAAAUGCAACAGCUAAUAAUGGAGGAAAAACUGAAGCUGGCUUCACCGAAACCGGAGAAAGAAAAACCAAGCCAACCCAAUCUUUGAAGAUUUGUUCAGCAGUGUUAUUGACAUUGUGAGUGUUGAAAUCCAGAGACAAUGGAAGCGUGAUGCUUUUGCAGGGCUGCAGCAUAGAGCACUCACUAGGUAUUUUAACUUAACUCUAAUGAAAAGGCUAAUUGUAGAUUUGAUAUAAUGUAUUUUUUUUUUUUUUACUUUUACAGGUCAUGUGCUAUUUUUAUUUUCAUCAAUGGGAAAAUCGGGUAACCUUGCUAACAGGUAGCAAUAUGGUGUGUGUCUACAUUUUCAGUCAUCAAAACUAAUUGGUUUUGCUGGCCAUUUGAUGUUCAAGCUGUAAAUGGAGAUGCUGCCC